AUUUUAAAGCAGCUCGAUUGAAGUCAAGAGAAGCAAGUUGCUCUGGUCGUACACGACCAGGGCGGACACCAUGAGAAGAUGCCUCUUCACUUCCUGGUGUUGCUCUACAUCCGGGCUAUUUUGGCAACACAGCUCUGCCCACCAGCCGAAGAGGGGACCUCCUAUCAUUGUCACGUGACCGUCAAUAACACAGAAGAGCGUACGGUGGUCUUAAGGAGAGAUGGCAAGGUCUAUGCUCAGUGCGACUGGUCAAGACUGACACUGACUGUCAUAAUGUGGACAAUACUGACUUGACAGUUGGGCUUGAUGUCAGGGAGACAAUGUCACAUUUGAGUUCAGAAUGGCUAACGUUACCAGGGACAAUGACCAAGCUAUGUGGAGUGUUGAGACCUAUCUUGACAAGGCGAUACCAGAUGUCCUAUUUCGUUUUAGGACUCUGGUUUACGUGAAGAUAAAAGACGUCCCAGCUGAACACGACAUGGUCAAGCAAAGGUCUAAUCGUCACAAUUGUCGUGCCAGUGUUGACCUAUCAACCCACACAGAUCAAGCUACUUCACGACACUCCAAAAACUGCUUCUUCUUGUAACAAACACACACGUGGGAAAGAAAACUCCUAACUUCAGGUCCACAUGCGUUAUCUCCCUUGAUGUUGAGCAACCCACCAAAGCCAACCUGGACUUCCUGUUGUAUCCGAAGAUUUCCGGGUUGUCUGAAGAUGAGGGUGU